rnacentral:rRNA from 1 species
AUUGAACGCUGGCGGCAGGCCUAACACAUGCAAGUCGAACGGUAACAGGAAACAGCUUGCUGUUUCGCUGACGAGUGGCGGACGGGUGAGUAAUGUCUGGGAAACUGCCUGAUGGAGGGGGAUAACUACUGGAAGCGGUAGCUAAUACCGCAUAACGUCGCAAGACCAAAGAGGGGGACCUUCGGGCCUCUUGCCAUCGGAUGUGCCCAGAUGGGAUUAGCUAGUAGGUGGGGUAACGGCUCACCUAGGCGACGAUCCCUAGCUGGUCUGAGAGGAUGACCAGCCACACUGGAACUGAGACAUGGUCCAGACUCCUACGGGAGGCAGCAGUGGGGAAUAUUGCACAAUGGGCGCAAGCCUGAUGCAGCCAUGCCGCGUGUAUGAAGAAGGCCUUCGGGUUGUAAAGUACUUUCAGCGGGGAGGAAGGGAGUAAAGUUAAUACCUUUGCUCAUUGACGUUACCCGCAGAAGAAGCACCGGCUAACUCCGUG